UUUUUUUUUUUUUUUUUUGUCUUUUUAGGGCUGCACCUGCAGCGUAUGGAAGUUCCCAGGGUAGGGGUCGAAUCAGAGCUGCAGCUGCUGGCCUAUGCCACAGACACAGCAACUUGGGAUCUGAGCCAUGUCCGUGACCUACACCACAGUUCACGGCAAUGCCGGAUCCUUAACCCACUGAGAAAGGCCAGGGAUUGAACCUGCAUCCUCACAGAUGCUAGUCAGAUUCGUUUCCGCUCUGCCAUGGUGGGAACUCCCACAAAUUUUUUAAUAAAACAAUUUUUUCCCUGAGUACAAACACCACGCAUAGUUACUGCAUACAAUUUAUAAGGCAGAAUUUUAAAAUUUAUACAUACAAUUAUUUUUGUUUAUUUUGGCAAAAAAUGGGGUAAUACUAUAUUGUUCAUUGAUCUGAUCCUUUUUACUUAUUAAUAUAUCAGGGUCCUUUUUCCAUGUCACUAAACAGUCUACUAGAUCAUUUUUAAUAACUAUAUAAUAUUACAUAGUAAAUGUUUAUAUUCUAACAAUUAAUGAAUUCUACAUGGUUGACUAGGUAAUUCAUAGUACUUUACUAUCUCAAAACAAUGUUAUAAUGCCCAGUCUUGAAAAUAUUUAGUUAUAUUUACAAAUAGUUCUUUGGGAUAAAUUUCCAGUAGACUUGACUACUUCAUACAUAUUAUCAAACUACCUCCAGGGAUUUUAUAGCAAUUUACAUGACUAUCAACCAUAAAAAAUUAUAUUUUCACACAUUUCAAAAAAUUAUUUUAGGAGUUCCCGUCAUGGCUCAGUGGUUAAUGAAUCCGACAAGGAACCAUGAGGUUGCGGUUUCGAUCCCUGGCCUUGCUCAGUGGGUUAAGGAUCCGGCGUUGCCAUGAGCUGUGGUAUAGGUCACAGAUGCAGCUCGGAUCCCACGUUGCUGUGGCUCUGGCAUAGGCUGCUGGCUACAGCUCUGAUUAGACCCCUAGCAUGGGAACCUCCAUAUGCUGCACGUGCGGCCCUAGAAAAAGACCAAAAAACAAAAAAAUUAUUUUAUAUUAGAAAAAAAUUCUUAUUUAGGAUAACAAGCCUAAUCUCUUUAUUGCCUUUUCUAUGAAUAUUAAGUCAUUCAGAUUAUGUACAAACGGUUAAAAUUAUUUAAACAUCCCAUAUCUUGAGAAGUUGUAUCAAAACAAACUAUAAGAACUUCCAGUAAGGAAACUACAUUAUGUAUUUCUAUGUUACACCUUUUUUUUUGGCCAUGCCCACAGCAUGAAGAAGUUCCCAGGUCAGCAACUAAACCUAUACCACAGCAGUGAACCUAGCCAUAGCAUGACAAUGCUGGAUCUUUAACCAGGGACUCCUGUAAGUUACACCUUUUAAAUGAAAAGCCAGACAAAUGAUUAAUCUUUUUUCACUCCUCCAAAGACUAAGAUUUUUCAAAACAUUACACAAGUAGUCAAUUAAAAAAUUAAAAAUAAUGGCACAUAUAACAGGGAGAAUACACAGUCUCAGCCUGUAAGAAAUAUACAAUCUAUAAGGAGGGACAGAUUCAAGUUGGAGAGGCAAAAGGUAUAACCAUGGAAAAGGGGAUGAGUCAAGUUAGAGUAAACAGAAAAGACUGAUGUUAAUAAUGAGGCUUCAGGAAGAAGAAAAUAUGAAAUUUUAAUGUCAGGAAGAGAUGUGAGCAUUCUAGGUUUACAAAGCAUAUUUGAAAGAUGGCAAUCAUCCUGGUAGAACAGAAGGUCUCCUUCUACAUACAUACCCCAGGGAAUUCUUCUUCCUCCUGGACAGGGAAACCAGUCCUGUCUGUGACCACAGUUUACUUUUUUGUUGUUUUUUUUUUUUUUGUCUUUUUGCUAUUUCUUGGGCUGCUCCCAUAGCAUAUGGAGGUUCCCAGGCUAGGGGUUGAAUCGGAGCUGCAGCCACCGGCCUACACCAGAGCCACAGCAACGCUGGAUCCGAGCCGUGUCUGCAACCCCUACACCACAGGUCACGGCAACGCUGGAUCGUUAACCCACUGAGCAAAGGCAGGGUUCGAACCUGCAACCUCACGGUUCCUAGUAGGAUUCGUUAACCACUGCACCAUGACGGGAACUCCUCUUCUGCUUUCUUCUUGCUAAGCCAUUUCCUUGGGCCUAGGUGGCCCCAACCAACCAUGAUUCCUCUCCACCGAAUUUGGAUACCCAUUCAGUGGGGAGCAACUGCUGUUUGUGCACCAUAGUCUGAAGACAGCCUUCAGUCUAACAUCCUGAACCAAGUUUUUGCCUAUGAAGUCUGUAUUUCCUAUGACUGAAUGUGGACUUGAUCUGUGCCUUCUGCUCCAAGCUGGUGCUGCCAUUACUGCUCAUGAGAUGCCUGUGUUUUCUCAACAAACUGUCCUUCCUUAAGCAUGGUCCCAGCAUGCCAAACCUGCUUGGCCACUGCAGGUGGGAAUCUGAUCCACUUUCCAUAAGCUAAUGCUGACAAAUCCUCCUUCUUCCUAACUUGUACUAACAAUCAAUUAACAAAGCCUAUUGUUCUC
rnacentral:lncRNA from 1 species